rnacentral:rRNA from 1 species
GUGCCAGCCGCCGCGGUAAUACGGAGGGUGCAAGCGUUAAUCGGAAUUACUGGGCGUAAAGCGCACGCAGGCGGUUGAUUAAGUUAGAUGUGAAAUCCCCGGGCUUAACCUGGGAACUGCAUUUAAAACUGGUCAGCUAGAGUCUUGUAGAGGGGGGUAGAAUUCCACGUGUAGCGGUGAAAUGCGUAGAGAUGUGGAGGAAUACCGGUGGCGAAGGCGGCCCCCUGGACAAAGACUGACGCUCAGGUGCGAAAGCGUGGGGAGCAAACAGGAUUAGAUACCCUGGUAGUCCACGCUGUAAACGAUGUCGAUUUGGAGGUUGUGCCCCUUGAGGCGUGGCUUCCGGAGCUAACGCGUUAAAUCGACCGCCUGGGGAGUACGGCCGCAAGGUUAAAACUCAAAUGAAUUGACGGGGCCCGCACAAGCGGUGGAGCAUGUGGUUUAAUUCGAUGCAACGCGAAGAACCUUACCUACUCUUGACAUCCAGAGAACUUAGCAGAGAUGUCUUUGGUGUCCGUUCGGGAACUCGUGAGACAGGUGCUG